rnacentral:misc_RNA from 1 species
AAGGAUCAUUACCGAAUUGUCGACACGAGUUGUUGCUGGUCCUCAAACGAGGGCAUGUGCACGCUCUGUUUACACAUCCACUCACACCUGUGCACCCUCUGUAGUUCUAUGGCUUGGGGGACUCUGUUCUCCUGUCGUGGUUCUACGUCUUUACACACACUCUGUAAUGAAGUCUCAUGGAAUGUAUGCCGCGUUUAACGCAAUACAAUACAACUUUCAGCAACGGAUCUCUUGGCUCUCGCAUCGAUGAAGAACGCAGCGUAGCCAUGUAUCGAUGUGGAAGUAAAAGUCGUAACAAG